rnacentral:lncRNA from 1 species
GCCACUCAACACGGUGAACGUGCAUCUACCAAGGAAUUACUGGAAUUAUACAUAUGGUCGAUCCUAUCCAAAAAGCUUCUUGAAGGUGGAUCGAUUUUCUAAUAAGAAACAGAGAUGUUCAUUUUGGUAAUUAUGAGUUUAAUGAUCUCAAAAAGAAAGUCUUUACAUAACUACAACCAACUCCAUCUUCUCACUUUCCUCGGCCCAAUUUUUCCAACCAGCAUUAAUUCAUAGGCCCGGUGAACGUGCAUCUACCAAGGAAUUAUUGGAAUUAUACAUAUGGUCGACCCUAUCAAGAAAGCUUCAUGAAGUGGAUCAAUUUUCUAAUGAGAAACGCAGGUGUUCAUUUUGAUAAUUAUGAAAUGAAUGAUCUCAAAAAGAAAUAGCCUUUACAUAACUACAAUCAACUCCAUCUUCUCUCUUUCCUCGGCCCAAUUUUCCAGCCAGCAUGAAUUCUUAGGCCACUCAACACGGUGAACAUGCAUCUACCAAGGAAUUACUAGAAUUAUACAUAUGGUCGAUCCUAUCAAGAAAGCUUCAUGAAGGUGGAUCGAUUUUCUAAUGAGAAACGGAGGUGUUCAUUUUGGUUAUUAUGAAACUAAUGAUCACCCCAUCGUCACGCAAACUUGUAUCCAUCUAGGAAAGAAAUGAAGGUCCAGUCUUUAGUUGAAUUCAGUUGGCAGAAAAGCUUUUGUUUUUUAAUCUCUAAAGUUAGG